rnacentral:rRNA from 1 species
GACGUAGGGGGCCAGCGUUGCUCGGAAUUACUGGGCGUAAAGGGUUCGUAGGCGGUGCGGCAAGUCGGGUGUGAAAUCUCUGGGCUUAACUCAGAGGCUGCUUCCGAAACUGGCGUGCUAGAGUGCGGGAUAGGCGAGUGGAAUUGCAGGUGUAGCGGUGAAAUGCGUAGAUAUCUGCAGGAACACCCGUGGCGAAGGCGGCUCGCUGGACCGCAACUGACGCUGAGGAACGAAAGCUAGGGGAGCAAACAGG